CCGCCGCCGGCUUCCCCAUGCCCGGCGCCCGGCCACUCCAACCAGCAACCAACCUUUCGCUCCCGCAAAUCUGCCCGGACUCCCUCUGCCCUCUCCUCCUUGUAAAUCCCACCAACAAGGCAACAAACUCCAAGGAUUAUUCGCACGGGAGCAAGCAAAAGAAAGUAUACGAGGAGCAGAUGCUUCGAGCGCAAGGAAGAAAGCGGAGGCGGGCGGGCGAAGCAAACGAAUGGAAGCAACGGGCCCCGGCCGGGG
rnacentral:lncRNA from 1 species